UUCCGAAACCCUAUAAAAUCUUCCUCUCCGUAAUGUAACCAUCACCGCCAAAUCUUUGAGCCAACCUUCUUGCUCCUAAAUUCCCACUUUCGAACGUUCUUUCUCUCCGCAAAAGUCUCAUCCAAAACAGAAAUAUGAAUCGUCGACCUUACGCAUCUCUCUCAAAUCCGGAUGAGUUCAAAUUCUCUGAUCGAUAAUUUAAGGAUCGAAUCAUUGGAGUGGGUUUAUGGAGAACUCAAAAUUAGGUUCAGUUGGUGUUUCAUGUAGAAGUUCUUCGUUGAACACUUUUCAACAAUAUGGGGAAAGCUGUACCUCCUAGAUUUAAAGAUAUAUCAGCGAUGACGAGGAGGAGCGGUGACGUUACCCAAGAAAAACAUCAAGAAAGUCGUUGAUCGAGCUGGUGGCUGGUUGGUUCCGUGAGAUGAUGGUUGUACGGCACACUCUUUCUUUUAUGUACCUUUGGUGUGAGUAGAUUUUUGUUUAACUAAAUGAGGUUCUGAUUAUCAACAAGGUUCAAUCGACGGUCUUUCGUAGUGAAUUCUGAUCUGAACACAAUGUUCACUCUUUUCUAAUCAUCCUCUUAGUAAAAUUUGGUCCGUCUUUUUACCCUGAGGUUUUCGGCUUUUAAACCCUAGCUAUUUGUUUCAUCUUCUUUGAU